UCCCAGGGCGUCAGUGAGGCGGUGGUGUGAAACCCUGAACUCACAGUGCUGAUGGAUGAGCGCAAGCUGGGGGUGGGAAAGGAGCAUCAAAAUAUUGCCCCAGACAUGGAAAGGCUGGUGUUUGUCUUCUUGAAGCGACUCAGAUAUACAGCAACCUGUCAGACACCGGGACCAUCCGGAAACCUUUGGACUCCAGGAGGAGCAGAUGGGAACAAGCCUGAAACCAAAGGGAAGCGACACUGGGAGGGAGAGUGGGGAAUAACCUUCAAAAG